UUUGCCUACGGGGGGCAGCAGUGGGGGAUAUUGCACAAUGGGGGGAACCCUGAUGCAGCGACGCCGCGUGGGUGAAGGAGCGUUUCGGCGCGUAAAGCCCUAUCGGCAGGGAAGAAGGAGGACGGUACCUGACUAAGAAGCCCCGGCUAACUACGUGCCAGCAGCCGCGGUAAUACGUAGGGGGCAAGCGUUAUCCGGAUUUACUGGGUGUAAAGGGAGCGUAGACGGCAUGGCAAGUCAGAUGUGAAAGCCCGGGGCUCAACCCCGGGGCUGCAGUUGGAACUGUCAGGCUGGAGUGCAGGGGG
rnacentral:rRNA from 1 species